AAAUUGGCCCAAAUCCAAAAUUAUGAAACAUGAGUAUAUUUUGAUAUAUUGAAGUUUCAAUCCUAAACAUGUCACUUCAAAUUCUAUUAUUUAUUAAAAAAAGUCCAACUCUCUCUCUCUCUUUCUCUAUCUCCUAUGUCGUCAAUGUCGAUUACUUCUCUCUCCUAGGGCUUGGUUCUCGAUUUUUUCCCUCCUCCAUUGUAGCAGAUUCCUCAAUUGAAACAGAUUAGUGAGCUCUCUCCUCCAUUGAUGUAAAUUAGUGAGCUAUCUCCUCCAUUUAAGCUCUAUCUCCUCCGUCGAAGUGCAGCAACGACGCAGCUUUUUCUCCUCAUUGAAUCGGCUUGUGAGCUUUCUCUCCUCCAUGGAAGAAGCUUUUAAGCUUUCUCCUCCAUUGAAUCAGCUUUUGAGGGAAGAAAAAAUGGAGGAAACGAGCCGUAUGCAAGAGGUGGAUCAUGACUUGCUAAACAUGGAAGCUGAAGAUGAAGAAGAAGACUACAUUUUAGCCGCUUGAGCAACAAAUGAGUGGAACAAUUUUAGAGAUGACCUUGCUAAGAAGAUGUUUCAAGAAUAUGUGGUAUGAAGGGGUUAAGCUACCUAGGUUUUAGUUGUAAUGAGACAUUUGUGUACUAUGUAUGGUUUGUCAUAAACUAUUUAUUAUGUAAUGAGACAUUUGUAUACUAUAUAUGGUUUGUCAUAAAUCUAGUGAUGAGUGUCAUUAUAGCACUCAUAUGGUAGCAUUUUA